GGUUGCCUAAGAUCCUGUGAUUACUGUAACAACGGACGUUGCCAACAUGAUGGUCUAUGCCUAGUCGGUUGUUUGGGUUUUUCAAACCCUCCAAAAUGUGAUAAACCAUGCACAAUAACAACUUACGGUGUGAAUUGUGACAAUAAUUGCAGCCGUAACUGUUUUGAAAGCCGAUGCAGAGAUAGAACUGGAGUCUGCCAAAUAGGUUGUUUCUCAGCUACUAAUUAUCCUGAAUGUACUCUGCCAUGUGAUACAGGCUAUGGACUGAACUGUACACAGACUUGUAAUAGAUGUUUUGGUAAUUACUGUCUCUAUAAUGGAACCUGUGCUUACGGCUGUAUAGGGUAUAUCAAUCCGCCUACAUGCAACAUUACUUGUCCUCCCGGCUACUAUGGAACAAAUUGUUCUCAUCAAUGUAUCCAAUGUCUACAUUCAAACUGCUCCCCUUCAACUGGUCUGUGCAUUGAAGGAUGUAUAGGAGGUAAUGAUUUCCCGUAUUGCA
rnacentral:sRNA from 1 species